GCCUCUGUGGCUCAGUUGGUUGGAGCAUUGUCCCUUACAACAAAAGGUUGCAGGUCAGAUUCCUGGUCAGGGCACAUACCUAGGUUGUGGGUUCAAUCCCCAUUUGGGGCG
rnacentral:tRNA from 1 species